rnacentral:rRNA from 1 species
UUCCGGUUGAUCCUGCCGGACCCCACUGCUAUCGGGAUGGGACUAAAACAUGCAAGUCGUGCGCCUCCAAGCCAUGGUGGAGACGCGGCAUCCGGCUCAGUAACACGUGGCUAACCCACCCUUGAGACGGAGAAAACCCCGGGAAACUGGGAUUAAUCCCCGAUAAGAGAAGACACCUGGAACGGGUCUCCUCUCAAAUGGCGCCCAGACCAUGCUUUUAGGCGUUGCUCAAGGACGGGGCCGCGGCCGAUCAGGUUGUUGGUGAGGCAAAGGCCCACCAAGCCUAUAACCGGUACGGGCCGUGAGAGCGGGAGCCCGGAGAUGGGCACUGAGACAAGGGCCCAGGCCCUACGGGGCGCAGCAGUCGCGAAAACUCCGCAAUACACGCAAGUGUGACGGGGCUAUCCCGAGUGCCACCCGCUGAGGGUGGCUUUUCCCUAGUGUACAAAGCUGGGGGAAUAAGGAGAGGGCAAGCCUGGUGUCAGCCGCCGCGGUAAUACCAGCUCUCCGAGUGGUGGGGAUGCUUAUUGGGCCUAAAGCAUUCGUAGCCUGCUUGGCAAGUCCUCCGUUAAAUCCAACGAUUCAAUCGUUGGGCUGCGGGGGAUACUGUCCGGCUAGGGGGCGGGAGAGGCCGACGGUAUCCUCGGGGUAGGGGUGAAAUCCUAUAAUCCCGGGAGGACCACCAGUGGCGAAGGCUGUCGGCUAGAACGCGCUCGACGGUGAGGGAUGAAAGCUGGGGGAGCGAACCGGAUUAGAUACCCGGGUAGUCCCAGCUGUAAACGAUGCAGGCUAGGUGUUGGCGCGGCUACGUGCCGCUCCAGUGCCGCAGGGAAGCCGUUAAGCCUGCCGCCUGGGAAGUACGCCGCAAGGCUGAAACUUAAAGGAAUUGGCGGGGGAGCA